GCCCCUGUAGCUCAGCGGGAGAGCGGCGGUUUCGUAUGUUACAGAAAAAACCGCAGGUCGGGAGUUCAAUCCUCCUCAGGGGCU
rnacentral:tRNA from 1 species